rnacentral:rRNA from 1 species
GACGAACGCUGGCGGCGUGCCUAACACAUGCAAGUCGAACGGAGAUACGAUUUCGGUUGUAUCUUAGUGGCGAACGGGUGAGUAACGCGUGAGCAACCUGACCUUCAGAGGGGGAUAACAUUUGGAAACAGAUGCUAAUACCGCAUAAGACCACGACCCGACAUCGGGACGAGGUCAAAGGAGCAAUCCGCUGGAGGAGGGGCUCGCGUCCCAUUAGAUAGAUGGCGGGGUAACGGCCCACCAUGUCGACGAUGGGUAGCCGAGCUGAGAGGCUGAUCGGCCACACUGGAACUGAGACACGGUCCAGACUCCUACGGGAGGCAGCAGUGGGGAAUAUUGGGCAAUGGGCGCAAGCCUGACCCAGCAACGCCGCGUGAGGGAAGAAGGCUUUCGGGUUGUAAACCUCUGUCCUUGGUGACGAAACAAAUGACGGUAGCCAAGGAGGAAGCCCCGGCUAACUACGUGCCAGCCGCCGCCGCGGUAA